GACAGAGGAUGCAAGCGUUAUCCAGAAUGAUUAGGCGUAAAGCGUCUGUAGGUGGCUUUUUAAGUCCGCCGUUAAAUCCUAGGGCUCAACCCUGGACAGGCGGUGGAAACUACCAAGCUGGAGUACGGUAGGGGUAGAGGGAAUUUCCGGUGGAGCGGUGAAAUGCGUAGAGAUCGGAAAGAACACCAACGGCGAAAGCACUCUGCUGGGCCGACACUGACACUAAGAGACGAAAGCUAGGGGAACGAAUGGG
rnacentral:rRNA from 1 species